rnacentral:rRNA from 1 species
UGAGGAACAUGACCUUCGGCGGGGGAUAGCCGGCCCAACGGCCGGGUAAUACCGCGUACGACCACAUGGGGACAUCCCUGAGUGGUGAAAGCAGCAAUGCGCCGAUGGAGUGCCUCGCGGCCUAUCAGUUAGUUGGUGAGGUAACGGCUCACCAAGGCAACGACGGGUAGCUGGUCUGAGAGGAUGGCCAGCCACAUUGGGACUGAGACACGGCCCAGACUCCGUAGG